GACGUAGUAGCUUAUGUGGAGUCAUACAAUCCUAAAGGGAAAGAGCAGGGGGCCAUGCUUAUCGAGUGUGAUGGUAAUGAUGCAAAUCGGAUGAUGUGCUACUCGGUUGUGCGUCCUAGGGAGUACGUGCAUUCCCAGUACGUUCGGUCUGUUGCAAACAUAUACAACAGGGAAUGGGCUCUGGAAUACCCAACGAAUUCUCGCAGAAUCAUGCUGGACUCCUCAUUUGCGUAUCAGAAAUUAAAGACGAGGGAAACAUAUGCUGGUCUGCUGAAGAAGUGGUCCACCC